rnacentral:rRNA from 1 species
GGAUUAGAUACCCUGGUAGUCCUAGCCGUAAACGAUGGGCACUAGUUAGGGGUCCUCCUGUGGGAUCCCUGACGAAGCAAAUGUACUAAGUGCCCCGCCUGGGGAGUAUGGUCGCAAGGCUGAAACUCAAAGGAAUUGACGGGGGCUCACACAAGCGGUGGAGCAUGUGGUUUAAUUCGAAACAACGCGAAGAACCUUACCCAGCCUUGACAUCUAGGGAUAACUCGUGUGAAAGCAUGGGGAUUGCCUUCGGGUGUAACCUAGACAGGUGUUGCAUGGCUGUCGUCAGCUCGUGUCG